CCAAAACCCCAUUUCAUUAUUUAUAGACAAAAACCAAAGCAGGAGAUACGAAAACGAAGGAACAAGAAAGCAAUCGCACAAAAGUUAAUUGGCAAACAAUAAAAAACAUGGGUUCGCGAGGAACAAGUGUAUUGCUGUCGAGGGCGAGUAGGAUCAAGUCAAAGCUUCAAUCAGCUCUAGAAGCAAAGAUUUUGGAAGUGGAAGACGUAUCGUAUCAGCACGCAGGCCAUGCUGCUGUUAAGGACAAUGCAAGUGAAACUCAUUUCAAUGUGAAGGUGGUCUCAGGUAAGUUUGAUGGGCAGAAUCUCGUUAAGCGACACCGGAUGGUUUAUGAUGCAUUGGCAGAGGAGCUUGAAUCUGGCUUGCAUGCACUCUCUAUUGUUGCAAAGACUCCUAAAGAAGCUGGCCUCAGUUGAUAAGGUUUUUUUAUCGAUUUUGUUGGUAUAAUAAGAGUGCAAGAAGAUGAAGUUUAAGUAUGCUUUUGGCAAUUGGCAUCUCAUUCAUUAGCUAUUGUAAAGUUUGAGAAUGCUAAAAGUUCAAUUACCUUCAAUUUCUCAUCUCCAUUUUGUGGUCUGAUUUCCAUUCAUCUUCAGACCCACGAAAUGAAAAUGAGAAAUUAAAUAAAUAGGGCAGAAUAGACUUUGAGGCUCUUUGACCAUCUUGUUUUUGUGUACUUGGCCCGUUCUUGGAAUGAGAAAACUCUUAGGGUCUACUCUUUUGUUUGCAAGAGCUACAAAUAUGAGUUGUAGUACUUUGUGUUUUAUUUGUGCAAUAUUGUUGGUGGCAAGUUUAGUGCUUAUUGGAUUUUAGUAUAAA